AGGCCUUCGGGUCGUAAAGUUCUGUUGUUAGAGAAGAACAAGUAUGAGAGUAACUGCUCGUACCUUGACGGUACCUAACCAGAAAGCCACGGCUAACUACGUGCCAGCAGCCGCGGUAAUACGUAGGUGGCAAGCGUUGUCCGGAAUUAUUGGGCGUAAAGCGCGCGCAGGCGGUUCCUUAAGUCUGAUGUGAAAGCCCACGGCUCAACCGUGGAGGGUCAUUGGAAACUGGGGAACUUGAGUGCAGAAGAGGAAAGUGGAAUUCCACGUGUAGCGGUGAAAUGCGUAGAGAUGUGGAGGAACACCAGUGGCGAAGGCGACUUUCUGGUCUGUAACUGACACUGAGGCGCGAAAGCGUGGGAGCAAACAGGAUUAGAUACCCUGGUAGUCCACGCCGUAAACGAUGAGUGCUAAGUGUUGGAGGGUUUCCGCCCUUCAGUGCUGCAGCUAACGCAUUAAGCACUCCGCCUGGGGAGUACGGUCGCAAGACUGAAACUCAAAGGAAUUGACGGGGGCCCGCACAAGCGGUGGAGCAUGUGGUUUAAUUCGAAGCAACGCGAAGAACCUUACCAGCUCUUGACAUCCUCUGACAACCCUAGAGAUAGGGCGUUCCCCUACGGGGGACAGAGUGACAGGUGGUGCAUGGUUGUCGUCAGCUCGUGUCGUGAGAUGUUGGGUUAAGUCCCGCAACGAGCGCAACCCUUGAUCUUAGUUGCCAUC
rnacentral:rRNA from 1 species